AUUUGCUGGUGUGGACCUCUUUGGGUCCUUGUUUGGGACUCUCUGCACUUCCUGGACCUGGACGUCUGUUUCUUUCCCCAGGUAUGUCAGUUAUAUUUCCUGAUCUUGGAGAACUGGCCUAAUGUAGGAGACGUCCCAUGGGGCCCAGCAGCACUCUCCCUUCUGGUCACAGAGCUAUGCUCCAGGGGUGCUCCCUAUGUUGGCUGCAUGGACCCUUCUGUUGUGGUAGGGCUGAUUACUGUGGGCCUGCUGCUUCUGUGGAUCAUCAGUCUGCACACAACUGAGAUGGAUUCUUUGCUCAGGAGCUCACAAGGGUGUGAUCGAGGUGUUGACUGGGCUGUGUUUUCCUCUGGAGACCUGACUGGGGAAGAUCCACUUUUCCAAGCCUUUUCAGGCUUCUGGCGGAAUUUGUUUCUUUGUGGCUGAAUAACUGAGGGUUCCAGCUUCUAUUUGGUUGUUAGCUGGAUGCUGCCUUCAGGUCUUAGAAGGAGUUCCUCACCAUAUGGUCUUCUCCAUAGGCAGUUCACAACAUGCCUGUUUGCUUCUUCAAAGCCAAUGGAAGACACUCUAGCUCAGUUUUGCACAACAUAGUUUAAUCACGGCAAUAACAUUCUAUCGCCUUUGCUAUAUAAUAUAAUUUAAUCAAAAGAGUGAAUUCCCAUUGCCUUUGCCAUGUUUUAUUGGUUAGGAGUAAGCCACAAAUUCUGCCAAUGUUCAAAAAGAGAGGAUAAUAGGAGAGUAGGACUCAUUGGAAGUCAACCUAGGGUGUGUCUGCAAAGUUCAGAUGUGCUGUGUUUGAGGUGUUAGAGGAACCUUCUGGGGAAAAAGUCAUCACCAGUUAUAAACUAGACAGUGUACAUCUAGUAAGUUCUAUCCUUAGUGAACUUUUGAUAGCAAUUUGAAUUAAACCACUAUAUCCUCAUAAUACUCCUUUAUCCAGCUUGUGCUGGAUGUCUAUAAAAUCAAGAAGACUAAUCCUUACUAUGACAAUAAAAAAUGAAAUAAUAUUUGUCAGAUGGUGAUGAAAAUAAAACUUAAGAGAGGUAUGUAUGGUGUCACUCAGACAGGGCUAGAAAGCUUGAAGAUACAUGUUUAUUUCUUAAAGCCAAAGAUAAAAUAAUUUAAUUUUCUAAUCUGAAAAGCUCCAUAGCACAUAAAUUGGCAGCCUCUCAGCCAAAUAUCUCUUGGAAGAAGAUGUAAUACCUCCCACUACAUUUUAGCUUCUGAGCCAAUUUCCAUCUAACACACAGAAGUUAAUUCUGGUCAGCUCUCAGCAAAGUCUUGACCUUUGAACAUCACUGGAAAAUUGAAGGGAGAUUUAGAAACAGAGACAAUAUGCUAAAAAUUGGUGCUGAAUUACCACCCACUCCCUUUGUUUCCUUCCUCUCCUAUCCCUAAGUGACUAAAUAAAAUGAGCAUAGAUCAUCUACAUCUCGGAUUUAUGUGACCAAAUCUAUCAACAAAUCAAUACCAUCACUUGUGCAUAAAUUUACAGCUUUACUCUCCCUAUAUUUCACUUCUGGUGGCUUUGGCCAA